GUACGUAGGUAGAUAGUCUCCUAAAGAGUACCUCGCUUGAUGAAGACCUUUGGGGGGGAUGGAGUGGAGAUGGCGCGUGCGCAGGUCUCCGUGGGUAUGCCGGCCCAAUAGCUCCCGCCGCUUCGCUGUGUGAAGAGCGGAGGACCUGCCUGCCAGUGUUCCUGUGGCUGAGUUUGCUGUCCCGGCCGCCACCUCUGCGCCUUCCCUGGCCAGCGCUGCGAGACCCCAGUGACUGCCGUGAUCAUCGUGUUGACGUGAACUGGAGAGCUGUCUUCGCUUCGAUGCAUCACCUUCAGUUCCAUCCUUGUUUUACUGGUUAAGGAUGGAAAAUGGUGCGUCCCGAGGUGACGAGACGCCCAAGUAAAGAACUCUACUCCAUCUCGCUUGGCUCGCUCGGCUAAGUCCCCUUCGUGCUUCGUUCAGCAGCACGUUCCGCCGCCAAAGCUAAGUAGAAGCAUCAGUCACAUACCUACUCACCACACACCCACCAACACGUACUCUCCUCCCACCCACCCACACGAUAAUACAGUACACGCACAACGAAACACGAAAUGUACUGCACGAUUAAUUAAGUCCGUCACGUUUACUGAAAACUUUACGCGUACACACGUUCUCCUAUGCCAAAGGGUCCCACACAGCAACACUACCGGUACUCUUCACUAGUAGUAACAUUCUUUUCCGGUAAGUAGACUUGACAUACGUAAUUUAUUGGUGAGGAUUAUUUUUCCUAAUUAUCCUUUAUUUUCAGAAGCAUCUUUAAUGUAGAGGAAGGACGUGAGUAGCGUUCAUUACCUCUGUUCUCGGGAGUGAAGGCGAGAGAGAGAGAGGCAAGAUGACUACUCUACCGUUACGACACUGAAGAGAGAAGAUACUACUACUUCUCCGACGGAUUUACAGGAGGAGAAGGAACACUGAAGAUGCUUCUUCCGAUCUGGUGUGGAGACACUAUCUCAGCA